AACGAACGCUGGCGGCAGGCUUAACACAUGCAAGUCGAGCGCCCCGCAAGGGGAGCGGCAGACGGGAGAGUAACACGUGGGAACGUACCCUUCAGUACGGAACAACCAAGGGAAACUUUGGCUAAUACCGUAUACGUCCGUAAGGAGAAAGAUUUAUCGCUGAAGGAUCGGCCCGCGUCUGAUUAGCUAGUUGGUGAGGUAACGGCUCACCAAGGCGACGAUCAGUAGCUGGUCUGAGAGGAUGAUCAGCCACAUUGGGACUGAGACACGGCCCAAACUCCUACGGGAGGCAGCAGUGGGGAAUAUUGGACAAUGGGCGCAAGCCUGAUCCAGCCAUGCCGCGUGAGUGAUGAAGGCCCUAGGGUUGUAAAGCUCUUUCACCGGUGAAGAUAAUGACGGUAACCGGAGAAGAAGCCCCGGCUAACUUCGUGCCAGCCGCCGCCGGGUAAGAC
rnacentral:rRNA from 1 species